rnacentral:rRNA from 2 species
GACGAACGCUGGCGGCGUGCCUAACACAUGCAAGUCGAGCGGGGUCAUGGAGAGGAAGUCCUUCGGGGCGGGUGCUACGUGAUCUAGCGGCGGACGGGUGAGUAACGCGUGAGCAACCUGGCUUACACAGGGGGAUAACACAUUGAAAGGUGUGCUAAUACCGCAUAAGACCACGAAGUCACAUGACGAUGGGGUCAAAGGAGGAAUCCGGUGUAAGAUGGGCUCGCGUCCCAUUAGCUAGUUGGCGGGGUAAAGGCCCACCAAGGCGACGAUGGGUAGCCGACCUGAGAGGGUGAUCGGCCACACUGGGACUGAGACACGGCCCAGACUCCUACGGGAGGCAGCAGUGGGGAAUAUUGGGCAAUGGGGGGAACCCUGACCCAGCAACGCCGCGUGAGGGAAGAAGGUUUUCGGAUCGUAAACCUCUGUCCUUGGUGAAGAGCAAGAGACGGUAGCCAAGGAGGAAGCCCCGGCUAACUACGUGCCAGCAGCCGCGGUAAUACGUAGGGGGCAAGCGUUGUCCGGAAUGAUUGGGCGUAAAGGGCGUGUAGGCGGCCUGAUAAGUCUGGAGUGAAAGUCCCGCUUUCAAGGUGGGAAUUGCUUUGGAAACUGUCGGGCUGGAGUGCAGGAGAGGUUAGUGGAAUUCCCAGUGUAGCGGUGAAAUGCGUAGAGAUUGGGAGGAACACCAGUGGCGAAGGCGACUAACUGGACUGUAACUGACGCUGAGGCGCGAAAGUGUGGGGAGCAAACAGGAUUAGAUACCCUGGUAGUCCACACUGUAAACGAUGAAUGCUAGGUGUAGGGGGUAUCGACCCCUUCUGUGCCGGAGUAAACACAAUAAGCAUUCCGCCUGGGGAGUACGGCCGCAAGGUUGAAACUCAAAGAAAUUGACGGGGGCCCGCACAAGCAGCGGAGCAUGUGGUUUAAUUCGAAGCAACGCGAAGAACCUUACCAGGUCUUGACAUCCAGGUAAAGCUAAAGAGAUUUAGUGUGUGCUUGCACAAUCUGAGACAGGUGGUGCAUGGUUGUCGUCAGCUCGUGUCGUGAGAUGUUGGGUUAAGUCCCGCAACGAGCGCAACCCUUGUUUUUAGUUACUAACGCGUAGAGGCGAGGACUCUAGAGAGACUGCCGGGGACAACUCGGAGGAAGGUGGGGACGACGUCAAAUCAUCAUGCCCCUUAUGACCUGGGCUACACACGUGCUACAAUGGCCACUACACAGAGGAGCGAAGCCGGAAGGCGGAGCGGAUCUCAAAAAAGUGGUCCCAGUUCGGAUUGUGGGCUGCAACCCGCCCACAUGAAGUCGGAGUUGCUAGUAAUCGCGAAUCAGCAUGUCGCGGUGAAUACGUUCCCGGGC